rnacentral:misc_RNA from 1 species
CGAAGUAAAAGUCGUAACAAGGUUUCCGUAGGUGAACCUGCGGAAGGAUCAUUAUUGAAUGAAACACUUCUGGCUUUAUGCUGUUGUGCUGGCCCUUUGGGCAAUGUGCACACGGCUCUGGUCACUUGUUUCUUCUGUUCCACCUGUGCACUGCCUGUAGACACGCUGUGUCUAUGAUAUUUGUUAACACACAACAAUGUUAGUUGGCAUGUUAUAUAUAAUAAUAAAAUAUACAACUUUCAACAACGGAUCUCUUGGCUCUC